GGUAAGAUCAGCUAUAUUUAGGCUAUUGGGCUCAUGCCCCAACAGAGACUUUCUCUUACCU
rnacentral:tRNA from 1 species